rnacentral:rRNA from 1 species
AUGGGCGRAAGCCUGAUGCAGCGACGCCGCGUGGGGGAUGACGGUCUUCGGAUUGUAAACCCCUUUCAGUAGGGACGAUUCGCAAGUGACGGUACCUGCAGAAGAAGCACCGGCCAACUACGUGCCAGCAGCCGCGGUAAUACGUAGGGUGCGAGCGUUGUCCGGAAUUACUGGGCGUAAAGAGCUCGUAGGCGGUUUGUCGCGUCGUCCGUGAAAACUCGGAGCUUAACUCCGAGCUUGCGGGCGAUACGGGCAGACUUGAGUACUACAGGGGAGACUGGAAUUCCUGGUGUAGCGGUGAAAUGCGCAGAUAUCAGGAGGAACACCGGUGGCGAAGGCGGGUCUAUGGGUAGUAACUGACGCUGAGGAGCGAAAGCAUGGGUAGCGAACAGGAUUAGAUACCCUGGUAGUCCAUGCCGUAAACGGUGGGCGCUAGGUGUGGGGUCCUUCCACGGAUUCCGUGCCGUAGCUAACGCAUUAAGCGCCCCGCCUGGGGAGUACGGCCGCAAUGCUAAAACUCAAAGGAAUUGACGGGG